AGAGCAGCUGUGAGGGCUUUGAAGGCACAGAGGCGUGAAUCGACACGAAAAGGUUGGAGAUGGGUGUGGAAUUAGAUGUAAUCACUGCAAAGACAGACUGAGGGCAGAAGAAAUUAAACCAGUUGGGUGAAUUAGCUCAGCAAGUGACGGUUCACAGGAGAGUCUUUAUCUACUCUUUGCACCGACUGUAUGCGCAUAAUUGCAGAGAAGCAUAUUCUGGUGAUACUGCAAGGUUAGCACAUGGAUUUCAUGGAUCAGUAUUCAAGCGUCUUAGGAUAAACCUGAUGCUCAGAAGUAUUUGAAUGCUGUCUGGGAUGGGGAUUUUGUAGCUUCUGCCUUCCUAUGGCAACCUACCACUCUGCUAGUGAAAACUUCCAGUGUCCAGGCUGAACCUCCCACGUCACAGUCUGUAGCUGUUGCUUGCUCUUAUGUCUUCUGCCAUGCGCAAGAUGAGUUGAGAUCUGCUGCUUUUGUAGCCAAGCUUCAAAUAGUUUAAGGCUGCUAUCUGGUCACCCUGUAGUCUCCUAGAUGGUGCUCCAGAACUACAUUCAUUUUGCUAAUCUCCUUCUGAUGGACUUUCUGAAGUUUCUCAAUAUGAAUCUUAAUUCCUGAAACAGCGCAGUGAUUGAAGCCAUUCCCCCCAAUUUACUGAUGGUAUGCUCUGACUUGGCAUCAAAGGCGUCAAAUUUCAAGCUGAAUGUCAGCUCCUGUAUUGAUCCCCGAGGUACUUGUUCCUGGCUGCUACCUGAAUAUCAAACCAGUGACAGUUGCCCUUGCAGCCUCGACGUGCAGCAUAGUUUUGACCUACUAAUGGUCAGUCAGCCCAUGUUUUCCUAGCUGACUGAUCAGAAAACUGUGACAGAAGGUGUGUAAAAGGCCUUUGCUUAUUGCUCUGUGUUCAGUCACUUGGUUUACUGUAGAGGCAAUUUGUGCCUUAAUACAGCUUGCCCUUGGUAACACUGCUGCCUGAGUUCUGACUGUGGAGGUGUUGUUCCCAUUUGAGAAUAGGUUUCAAGAGGACCUUACCAGGCACUAAGACAGGAGUGAUUAGUCUGUUUUCUCAGGCCUUUAUUCUUGCUUUUCUUAAAGAUGAGUGUAAUGUUAGUUAGCUUUUAGCAUUAAUCAAGAGCUUGCCUUCAGAAUUCUGCUUAGUUUUGAUGCUAAAAUUCAAAUAAUUGUAUUCUCUAACUUACCUGAAUGUUUUGAUGUUUCAAAUACCACUAGUACUCACUGUCAAUUUGCCUCAUAGCUUCUUCCUUUUAGUUUGAAGGAAGGAUCUCUAUUACUACUAGACUUGCCAAGUCACUUCAUUUUAAGACCCAAAUACCUCAUUUUUAUUACUAAAACACAGAAGCCUCUUACCGUAACCAUUACAUCUAUUUUCACAAAAUCCUUGUGCAAUAGGUGAGUCGUGGGGGAAGUCUUAGAGAUUUUUCAUUUUCUGUUUUUAUAAGCAUUUAGGCAAAUAUAUGAAUGAGUACUUAGUGGGACUUUCACAUGUGUUAGUGUUUGUUUAUGUAGGCUAAAUAUCGUUUAAAAUUUUAUCUUAAUAAUCUGGGUGGGUUUUUCACUACGCAUGAAAGGAUGCCAGACUUUUGAAUGAAUUUCUGAAUUGGUAUUUCUCUAUUGUAGUUUUCUUACCAGAAAUAGAGUCUGUGUUAAUAUAAAAAAGAGGAUUGCUAGGUGUUGGCUACUCUGCAUCUCAGUUCCUGUGAUACAUUGCAUAGAGUUAAAACAAACUAGUUUUAAGCAUUCCUUGAGCUCAGUUUUGUAUUUUGAAAUUUUGAUUUGUUCUGUGGAUAUUCAGCUGACUUAUUGCCACAAAUUUUGUUGCUUCCCAAGUGACUUUAUUACCUAACAAAAAUAAGAUGCUGUGGGCAAGAUUAUCAGCAUGAGAAUAAAUGAUCUAGCAAGCAGUAAUAAACCUGAAAACAACAAUACUAAAUGUUUUAUGCAUCGUUUAUGUAUGUGCCACAGCUGAAGGUUGAAGCAGUAGCUUUUUAGUUCUGCAUACUAAAAGCAGAGGGAUCUAUUAGCACUUCUUUUACUCAUGAAUUCUGCUACUGGUUAUUAUAUAGGAGUAUGUAUACAAGCUAUAAAAGUAAGAAUUGUAGUGGAAGACAAAGAAUACCAAGACAGAACUAUGUUCAUGACAAAUGGAAAUUGUUUAACAGAAAGGGGAAAAAUUAAACUUUGAC
rnacentral:lncRNA from 7 species